CCUACGGGGGGCUGCAGUGGGGAAUAUUGCACAAUGGGGGAAACCCUGAUGCAGCAACGCCGCGUGAAGGAAGACGGUUUUCGGAUUGUAAACUUCUGUUCUUAGUGAAGAAUAAUGACGGUAGCUAAGGAGCAAGCCACGGCUAACUACGUGACAGCAGCCGCGGUAAUACGUAGGUGGCAAGCGUUGUCCGGAAUUACUGGGUGUAAAGGGAGCGCAGGCGGGAAGCCAAGUCAGCGGUGAAAACUACGGGUUUAACUUGUAGGCUGCAGUUGAAACUGGUUUUCUUGAGUGAAGUAGAGGUAGGCGGAAUGCGGGGUGUAGCGGUGAAAUGCGUAGAUAUUCGGAGGAACACCGGUGGCGAAGGCGGCCAACUGGGCUUUAACUGACGCUGAGGCUCGAAAGUGUGGGGAGCAAACAGGAUUAGAUACCCUAGUAGUC
rnacentral:rRNA from 1 species